AGUAUCUUCCUAAACAGGAAAAAAAGAGUAGUUUUGAGACAAAGGAAAUAAAAUUUAGUUUGCAUACCAUUUAUGUUUUCCAUGAUAACAUAACAUCAUGACAGAGGAUCUUUGAUAUUUUAUAGAUGUAGACUAUUUUAAGCUGAGGAUUGUACACAGUUACCAGUCAAAUUCUUUUCCAUGGCAAGCCAGUUACAAAAGUAAGCAAGGUUUGCAUAUUUAGGCAUGAAGCACGCAUAUACAAAGAUUGGAAUAGGGCUUAUGGUAUGCCAGUAAUUUAGUGGAAUCAAUUAAAUUUGUUUCUAUCUCAGAAGUAUUUUUGAGCUAGCAGUAAUAUAUGCUUGCCUUCAGAUUGUGAUCACUGUCCUUGAUGCAGCUCUGAUAGAUAAAGCUGGCGGGAAGCCCCUAUUACUGGUUAAUUCAAAGCAGAGAACAACUCACCUUCAAAUUUUAGCAUGUGUAGAAAUAAAGCUGUUCUUUAUGUUGACGAUGGCACGGAUAUAGCUUGUGGACAAAGUCAUGACCGAUAAUGGAAAAACCUACAUGCUCUACAUUAGUUAAGAUCUUUUUUAAGUUAGAUGAAUUUCAGUUUUCAACUAUAGUUGCUUCGUUUUGUGACACAGCUUGUGCAUUUUCUUUUUUUGUGCAUUUUUCCGUUAAAAUAUGGCCAGAGAUACACACCUUCACGCUGGAGCCAAGCGCUCUAUCUUUCAUAGUGACAUAAAACCUAGUAACAUUCUUUUGGAUAGCAAUAUGGUGCCUAAGCCCUCAGACUUUGGGCUUUCAUUGCAGGGACCCCUAUCUACUUCCAAGCUAAAACCAAUUGAAGUAGACUAUGUUGCAGGUACAUUUAGAUACUUAGCCCUUUAUUACAAGAAGGUUAGAGCGUCAAAUAGUUUCACUGCUGUUCCACUAUUAUUGUUAUUGUCACCACUUUCAAUCUCUUCGAAUGAGGACUAUGAUGAUGAUGGGGAUGAAGAUGACACUGAAGAUUGUAGCUGAUAAAUUUAGUAUGGUUGAACAAUACACUGAUUUUAUAUUUUGAAUUAUAGUUGAUGUAUCAAUACACUUUGUUGAUGUAUCGUUGUUACUUAUUAUAGU